CGAUGAACUUUAUUUUUAGUUGUGUAUGUGUACCUGUACUUGGGUGCACACAUGUGAGUGUGGAUGCCCUUGAGACCAGAGGCACCACAUCUCCCUGGAGCUGUAAUUACAGGCAGUGUGAGCCUCCCAGCACAGCACUAGGAACUUAACUCAGAUUCUCUGCAAAAGCAAUACACACUUCUUAACUGCUUAGGACAUCUCUCUGGGCCUACUCCCCCCCCCCUCUUUUUUUUUGAUAGAGAUUCAGAUAGGGAAGAUCCAUCACAUCUUAGAAGUGCCAGAGUUGAAAUGCAAAACCAAGUUUACUGCUUCCGGGGGCUGUACAGCAAACCUCGAGUUGAUAGGCCAAGGUCUGAACUUAGUUCAGAAGAUUGUUCAUAUCUGGACAGAGCAACGAUGGAGCUAGAGUAUUUAGUUUAGGAAGAUUGUUCGUACAGUGAAACAGAGACUGUUAGAAGGUUGAGAGACUGGCUGGAGCCUCUGACUCUAGGGACAGAAAGGGUAGUUCUCCAAGACUAGUGAUUAGAUACAGGAAGGAUUCAUAUCGGCUCUGGGUGCUCAGUCUGCGUCUCCAGGGAAAGGGUGGAGACACUAACAAAGGUAAGUCAGACAAGAAGGGUUAUUGACUUAGGGUGGCGUGCUGGGAGGAGGUGAUGCUUAAACCUGAGUUCGGGGGUACCAUUAAGACAACAAAUGACGUCUAGUGGGCCUAUGGAACCACAGGCCAGAUUGCCCUUAGAGACCUGAUGUAGCAAUCAUCUGGAAACACUAGAGUGUAUGGGAACUCCUGAAGAGAGUGCCUACUAGAGAUGAGCGCGCAUUUCCUCAGGAAGUGUGGGUGUAUUUCCAUGAGAGGCAAAGGAAAGGAAGAAAGAAAGAGGAAAACAUAACAAAGAGAGGGUAGUCAGAAGAGCAGCACCAGCCCAGCCACUUGUCACAGACAGCGAGAAGGAUCCAGACAGAGUCCAGGCUCAGAGUCACCAAGGGACACAUCUCUGCAAUUAGUGUUGGUCUCUUUCUCAAGAAACAAUGGAUGGACACCAUUAUGUUCAGACACUUUUUUUCCCUCUGUUCUCAGCUCUGUUUAUGGAGGCAAUGAGUCAGUCAAGAGGGCCGUUUUCCUAGUAAAGAUGCGUUUAGUUACCAUACUCUUAAUUUGCACUCGUGAGAAACUCUCAAUUUUAUUGCCAACAAAUUAAAGUAAAAAUGCACAGGCUUUUAUCACAUCACUGGAGAGCAGUUGAUUGGCCUUUGGGUCUCUCCCACUCCUCCAAGAAAACUCUUGUAAAGUUCUUGGCUCUUUCACUCUGUGCUUCCCUGUGUGGUCUACCAAGCACCCUUAGCUUGAAUCUAUGAAGUCAAUGGGCAGGAUCCAGUCACAAGCUCAGAGCUCACUGUGUUGUCUCUUCAGUCUUGAGAUAACCUUUUCGAAGUGGGUGGCGCUAAUGAGAAGAGAAUAAAAUAGCUAAUGGGGGAUUAUAAAGUACUUUGCAAAUAUAAAGACAACAUCAAAGCUAAAUAAUAAUCUUAAUUUAGGGUAAAGAGUUCUAUUAGCAGAGAGAAACAUAAAGAAGGACAAAGGGUAGUGGCGCUUUGUACCUGAGUAACUGUGCAGAUCAAAAGUGCCGUAUUGAUCGCCAUUGCCCUGUGAACUCUCCAACCUAAGAAUUUGGCUCCCCUCCCUGACUCUCAAAGGACCUCUACCCACUCAGUAUGCCCAUGGCGUUUCUCUGAGUCUCCUGACCAAUGUCAACAGGAACUUCUGUUUGGGGCCAGCUUGAUAACUGAGUAGAGUCCUCUUCCGGUUACUGGUUACCAGCUCUUGGUUAUCUUCUCAGUAUCUCUUAACUAUCUGUGCCUGGCAAGAAAAUAGAGAGGCUUGAGCAAUUAGGAAACAACAGAGAGCUCAGAGUCCACAAAACAAACAAGUUAAGGGAUGCUUGGAAUAUUUGCACAUACAUGUGCCUUCCGCAUGAGGUCACAUAUAGACACCCUCCAGGCUGGGUGGGCUGCAGGCCCUUGGGAAGCAGAAACAGAGGCUGGCAGUGAUGAUCAUGGGCUUCAUGCGUAUCAACUUUUUUGAGUAUAAAGGAAAGAGAAAGAAAUUAAUUCAUCUCUCACAGUGAAGCUCAGGCCCAUCCCGCACCGUUCUUCCAUCCUGAAUGUAAAUGUGAUCCAUGAUACCGCCCAGGAGCAGGGAGACUGGGAGCAACCAAGUUUGAACCACAGAGUGUUACCCGUCCCCAUUCAACAGAUGGCAUCUACACGAUGGCCUGAGAGGACUUAGUUGCACCGGUCCAUUUGGAGACAGCACCUGCCCCUUCUGAGCUUUUCAGCUACAAAGGAAGCUGGCUGGAGAAGCCAGCAGCUGGAACGGAGCUGGAGACUAGGAGGCUGGAAGACACUGAAUGAGCGUGAAAUUGACCAGUUAAAGUUAAGCCCUUUCACCUGCUAGCACGGAAGCUCUGCUCACUGGUGCCACCGGAAGUUCAGAUGAGCCUCUGGCACAUUUAAAUAGAUACGCUGGUUUCCUUGGAUUUCAUUCAUUUCUUCUUUUUCUUUCUUUUGUUUUUGUUUGUUUGUUUAUUGCUGGUUUGGUUUGGUUUGGUUUGAGACAGAAUUUCUCUGUGUGGUUUUUGGGUGUCUUGGAAUUCCCAGAGAUCUGCCUGCUUCUGCCUUCUGGAAUUAAAGGCCCCUUCCCCCCC